CGAACGCUGGCGGCAGGCCUAACACAUGCAAGUCGAACGAUACCUUCGGGUAUAGUGGCGCACGGGUGAGUAACACGUGGGAAUAUACCUUUCGCUGGGGGAUAACAUCGGGAAACUGAUGCUAAUACCGCAUACGCCCUUUGGGGGAAAGAUUUAUCGGCGAAAGAUUAGCCCGCGUCCGAUUAGUUAGUUGGUGAGGUAAUGGCUCACCAAGACUUCGAUCGGUAGCUGGUCUGAGAGGAUGACCAGCCACACUGGGACUGAGACACGGCCCAGACUCCUACGGGAGGCAGCAGUGGGGAAUAUUGGACAAUGGGCGCAAGCCUGAUCCAGCCAUGCCGCGUGAGUGAUGAAGGCCUUAGGGUUGUAAAGCUCUUUCGACGGGGACGAUGAUGACGGUACCCGUAGAAGAAGCCCCGGCUAACUUCGU
rnacentral:rRNA from 1 species